GUAAGUUUCCAUUUUCGGAAACUUACCGAGCCUCUCCCCGAUUCUCUCUUCCUCUCCGACCUCUUCACCUUCUUCCGGCCAUAACUCCUCCAUCCGGCGACGGAUUUUGACGUGUAAGAUGUCGUUGGAAAGCUCUCUUCCUUCUCUUCAUUUCUGGGUUCGUUUCGUAGCUUAAUAUGAACUGUGGAAGGUGCAGCAACGAGAAGAAGAGGACGGUCACUGUAGCAGUUUUGAGUCAACGCCGAUAUUUUCCGAUUCCGGCAGUCUCCGGCCACCAAAUUGGCGUCGAAGGGUUCUUGGAAUUUCUGGAAAAUUUUCACCGGCCAAAUUGGAGCUCUUCCAGGGCAAUGCCGCGAGCUAUGGUUAAAUGAAGGAACUCGUUUGCGUGGUCGCCCAAUAGUACUUUUGCAGGCGAAAUUAGUUGAGGUCGGGCGUACAUGGAGUCGAGGCAUACCCAACAGCAUUGCUUCCGCGUACUCAUUCUAUUUCUGUUUUCUUUGUUACCUAGUGGAUUAGUAUUGCUCUGAUAACCUAUGGGAUUAAUAUUGUUUUUGGGUUGAGACUGAUAUUUGUGAAAUUGGAGUUGUGAUUUGGGGAGCAGAUGGCUCCAGAAGAUUAAGGAUGGAUGAUUUAGAAGUGUAAAUGUUUUCCUACAGGUUUUG